GCCCCACGGGGCGCAGCAGGCGCGAAACCUCCGCAAUGCACGCGAGUGCGACGGGGGAACCCCAAGUGCCAACUCUAACGGGG
rnacentral:rRNA from 1 species